rnacentral:lncRNA from 1 species
ACUUCGAAGGUGAAGGUGGGGGGUGAGAAGCAGGUGGAGAAGUAGCAAUAGGAGGUUGGGGUGCAUUAUCAGGAGGCUUGGAUGCUGGUGGUGGAGGUGAAUUUUCAGGAGGAUCUGAUGCCGGUGGUGGAGGUGAAUUCAACGGUGGAGGUGAAUCUUGAGGAGGAAUAGAUGCAGGUGGUGGAGGUGAAGUUUCUGGCGGUUGUGAUGAUGAUGGUGGUGGUGGUGAAGGUGGACUUCUAGGGGGGUUUGAUGGCGGUGGUGGAGGCGAAUUAGCUGGUGGAUUGGAUGUUGGUGGAGGUGGUGAAGUUGAUGAAUUAGAUGGUGGUGGUGAUGAUAAUGUUGGUGGUGGUGGAGAAUUGGAUGUUGG